CCUACGGGUGGCACCAGUGAGGAAUCUUCCACAAUGGGCGAAAGCCUGAUGGAGCAACGCCGCGUGAAGGAUGAAGGCCUUAGGGUUGUAAACUUCUUUUAUAAGUGAAGAAUAUGACGGUAACUUAUGAAUAAGCACCGGCUAACUACGUGCCAGCAGCCGCGGUCAUACGUAGGGUGCAAGCAUUAUCCGGAGUGACUGGGCGUAAAGAGUUGCGUAGGUGGUUUGUUAAGUAGAUAGUGAAAUCUGGCGGCUCAACCGUACAGGCUAUUAUCUAAACUGGCAGACUCGAGAAUGGUAGAGGUAACUGGAAUUUCUUGUGUAGGAGUGAAAUCCGUAGAUAUAAGAAGGAACACCAAUGGCGUAGGCAGGUUACUGGACCAUUUCUGACACUGAGGCACGAAAGCGUGGGGAGCGAACGGGAUUAGAUACCCUGGUAGUC
rnacentral:rRNA from 1 species